CACUCACUCCAGGGGAAGCUGGCUGCUGAGUCAUGAAGAGGUCCGUGCAGCCCUCCGGAGAGGCCCAUGGGAGACACUGAGGCCUCCAGCCAACAGCGACCAACCCCUUGCUAGGGGUGAGGAAGACUCUUGGAAGACUGUUCAGCCCCAGAAAGCCUUGAGGUGAUCAUGGCUUAGACCAGCAUCUUAGCUGCAACCUCAUGGGAGACCUAGAGGCAGAGCCAUCCAGCUGGGUCAUUCCCUGGCUCCUGCCCUGCGGAAGCCCUGUGAUACUGUAUAAUUGAUUUUCCAGCAAACCUUCAGAGGGAGAAGGAGAAAUUGUCCCUUGGCCCCUACAGUUUUGGCACUGUGAGCAGGAGACUGACACCAUUCUGCUCUCCUGGGAGCUGCAGUGAAGGAAACCCAGGACCUGACAAACUGGCAGAAGGAACAGAAGCCUAUGAUGCAGAUGUGGCCAAUCAGUGCCCUGGGGCUCCAGCAGCAGUGCAGGAAUGCGGAACUGAUCAUAAAGAUCCAACCAGCAUGAAGAAAUUCUGACACUGGAGGAAGGGCUACCGGGAGAAAACAUUUCUCUUUUCCCCAGCCAGCCGUCAGCUAGCCUGAGAGAAUGUGAGGCUGGGGCUACCAUCUUGCCACUAUGAAGAGAGAACCUGCUGAGCAAGGAGGCAACACAGAGCCAGAUAUGGAGAGAAAUAAGCAGUCUUGAAAUGCUGUUUCAUCCUCUGGAUCAAACCAUUCCUGAAGGUAGCGCUUUCAAUUCUGACCCUUCAAUUAUGGGGUUCAUUGAAUUCCCUUUUUGUUUAGCCAGUUUACAUUCAGUUCUAUGUCACUUGCAAACAAAAUCCUUCCAACAGAUGCACUCGAUGGCCACAGGCCAAAGUCAGUGUCUCCUGGAGUGGCAGCUCUGAGACGUGUCCACAUGGGACCACAGUGUAGAGAAGCCACACACCACCAUAGUGCUCCUGAACCAGAAGAGAUCAUGGGCUUCUAUAGAGGGGGGUGAGCCAGGUGCAAGGCAGUGGAGUAGGAAAACCUGGGCUGGGGCCAGCCACAGUGACUCACACCUGUAAACCCAGCGCUUUGGGAAACAAAGGUGGAAGGAUCGCUUGAACCCAGGGGUUUGAGAACAGCCUGCACAACAGAGACCUCCUCUCUAACAAAAAUAAAAUAAUUUUCCAGGUG